rnacentral:rRNA from 1 species
AUGGCCGAAGCAAUUGUAGGUUUACUGAUCGUCAAGCUGGGUGCGGCCUUGGCGAACGAGGCAGCAACCUUCGACACAUCGCUGCUUUGCAGUGAAGCCUCGGCCCUCAAUGGUCUGCUCGGUCAGAUCAGUGAAGCCAAGUAUGAGCUUGAAAGUAUGCAGGCAUAUCUGAAAGGUGCAGAGCGGUUCAAGGACGCCGAUGAUAGAACUGGCCUCUUUGUCGAGAGGAUCAGGGGCUUCGCUUUCGAGAUCGAAGAUGUGGUCGACGAGUUCACCUAUAAGUUGGAGGAGAAGCAUGGAGGGUUUGUUGCCAAGAUGAAGAAGAGGAUCAAGCAUGUCAAGACCUGGCGCCGACUUGCGCACACGUUUAAAGAUAUCAAUGGCAGACUUCAAGGUGCUAUACAAAGGAAGGAGCACUACGCCAUGCCAAAAAUUGGCAGAAAUGAUGGCCACAGGGCUCAUCGAGUUUUCAAUUUCUCAAGGGACGAGGACCAUGUAGGGAUCUUUGAGCACAAGCAGCAAUUGAUGCAAUGGCUGACAGACUUGCUGAAGAGGAUUGCUAGAGAAUUUGGCAUGACAAUUGAUGCACCUAAAAUGGAGAUUAGAAUCCUGGCUGAGACCAUCUACGAGUACCUCCAAGUUCAUUUGGAACCACUUGACAAAUCGAACUCUUGGGAGUUAUUCUACAAAUCAGCCUUUUGGAAUGAUCCUGAUAGAAAGUGUCCACUCGAGUUAUAG